rnacentral:rRNA from 1 species
UACGUAGGGUCCGAGCGUUGUCCGGAAUUACUGGGCGUAAAGAGCUCGUAGGUGGUUUGUCGCGUUGUUCGUGAAAACUCACAGCUCAACUGUGGGCGUGCGGGCGAUACGGGCAGACUGGAGUACUGCAGGGGAGACUGGAAUUCCUGGUGUAGCGGUGGAAUGCGCAGAUAUCAGGAGGAACACCGGUGGCGAAGGCGGGUCUCUGGGCAGUAACUGACGCUGAGGAGCGAAAGCGUGGGGAGCGAUCCGG